rnacentral:rRNA from 1 species
CAGUAGCCGCGGUAAUACGUAGGGUGCAAGCGUUAAUCGGAAUUACUGGGCGUAAAGCGUGCGCAGGCGGUUCGCUAAGACAGAUGUGAAAUCCCCGGGCUUAACCUGGGAACUGCAUUUGUGACUGGCGGGCUAGAGUAUGGCAGAGGGGGGUAGAAUUCCACGUGUAGCAGUGAAAUGCGUAGAGAUGUGGAGGAAUACCGAUGGCGAAGGCAGCCCCCUGGGCCAAUACUGACGCUCAUGCACGAAAGCGUGGGGAGCAAACAGGAUUAGAUACCCCGGUAGUCCCUGUCUCUUAUAC